AUUAUGAGGCACCUAUAGCUAUUUUCAUUUAAAUGAUUAAAAUUAAAUAGAAUAAAAAAUUCAGUUUCUCACCCUAGCCACAUUCUAAGUACUUAGUUGUCACAUACAAACUGUGGGGGCAGCGCAGAUACAGACCAUUUCUGUCCCUGUGGAACGUUCUAUUGGGCAGCAAGAACCAGAUUGAAAUAGCUCUACCCCACCAUCACCCCAAAACUUCAUCACUAGGAAAUGUUAAAGGAUGAGAACAGAGUGUGGGAAACACCCAGGCCAUUGUGGUGCUGAGAUGAUAGUGGCAUUUUGGGCUGGACUACUUUUCAUUUCAUGGGAUCAUUUUGAGGAAAUGUACAUUCAUAAAGGAACUUUCCAUUUGUAAAAACGUCUCCAUUUUUGGAAGAGAUCUACACCCUGGAGGCAACUCUUAUCACCUGGGAGACUCUCGCCUGCAUAGCAAGACGGUCCUAUUUACCAAACCUUUCCUCUCUUUAACUUCCCAUGACUUGCCUCCCCCUCUCAGAAGCCCCAAACCCCUUUUCCUUUGUUUAGCCUAAGAUGGUAAAAAGCAUCUUGAGCCACAUCUUUCUUUGCGAACUCCUGUGUGUACUGUUAAAAAAUAAAAUUUAAAAUUUUAAAGAUCUUACUGACUUUAUUCAAUGAUUCAUGAGACAGGCAGCAUCACAUUUAGCAAAUAGAAUGAAGCUUUAAAGAGUAUGGGCAAGAGGAGGCAGCAAAGUGCUGAUUGUUUCAGGCGAGGCCACCUUUCUUUGGGGGAUUACCUCAUAGUAUGGACCAGGUAAUUCCACAGUGACUGGUUAAGAUUACAUUCCUGGGAGAGGCUGAAAUUGCAAUUAGGUUAGGUAUUAAGUCUUGCUUUAUUGAAAUGGGGUUAACACAAGUGACUCCAUUUUGGAUGUGUUGUU